GCACAGAGCCCGACGCCGGGCUCAAACCCAUGAACCACAGGAUCAUGACCUGAGCUGAAGUGGGACGCUUAACCAACUGAGCCAUCCAGGCACCCCUGCACGGUGUAUUUCAAAGGGAUCAAAUAUUAAAUCUAGUAUCUCGUGAUCUUAGUCAAACCCUCAUCUUCACACAUGUCCAGAACAUAAGCAUGUGUUUGUAAACAAGUAGUUAUUUCCAUUUUCUCAGACAUGAGUAACAAUUUGAUCUUCCCAGGACGACAAGCAGAGACUCCUGUGAUCAGUAACAAGACUGUCAAAGGAUUCCUAUUCCUCCAGCCAGCCCUUCUUUGAAUUUGGCCUCAGCUGUAGCACGAACGUUCACCCUAACUCCAUCUGUGAGGUCAGGUGUACAGUGGCCAUCUCUGAUCCGUUCAUAAGAAGCAGACAACUGGGAACUGGGAGUGUGGGGACUGAAGGGGUGGGGUCAUUGGGCAAUGAAAUCCUAGAUGAUACUCCCUUCCUGCAGGGUGAAAUAGGAAUAUAUAGGUAUGGCCUCUCAGACCUCAGAAGAGCACCUCAGAUGGAAUCCAUGUAGAACUGCCAGUGAUAGGCGUGGCCCAAGAUUAUAACAAUUUGUUUGUUUGUGUAUGUAGGGCUAUGGGGGUGUGGGUGAUGCCCAAAUAAAUCAGCUUACUAGGAAGUGUGAGAUAAGAAAAGGUAAAUGGCUUGGAGGGGAAGCUUUAAAGGAAUAACUUUCUGAAAGUAAAAAGUGAAAUCUUUCACUUCAGGUGAACACCAGCAUUUUUGAAUGUAAGUUUUUGUCUUAGGUUCCCUCGUCCUUUUCUUAAUGGCUAUGGAUGAUCUGGAAACAUGUGGGAGACUGUGGUUUCGUGAUGGUAUUCUCUGACACACGGAGUAGCUUCCUAGAAAUGGUGUGACUUACAGCUAUCUACCAUUCCCUAACUGCCUUUAGCUUUUGUUGACCUAUCACUGGGACUAAAGUGACAUCUGGGCUUUUUUGUAUUCACUUAUUGGGCUGUACCCAUAGUAUUAGUCAAACAGCACAUUUUGUGACAUGACCUCCUGUCUAGGGUUAAAUGCUCAGCACAAUGUCUAGCUAAUAAAGAAUGAAUUAAAAAGAUUAUUAAUGCAAUAGUCAUUUUAGGGUAGUAUUCAGCAAAAAUAUCUAAACUUAAUCAGAAUCACUGAGACCAAAUUAGAAGGAACCUUAGAGACUUUCAUUAUAAAAAAGAAAUCAGGUCCAAAAGAGAAAAAUGGAGUACACCCAAAAUUCUAGAACUCUUUCCAUUGUGUUCUUAGACUUUAGAACUCCAUCUUCUCUUAUUUUACAGCUUUAUUGUGACAAAAUUUUUUAAGAAGUACCUUCCCAGGUGUAAUACAGACGCAGUGAGAUACCAAAGAUGUGACAGAAUUGUGUAAGAAUGAAUUAAAGAGCUUGUCCAUCAGCCAACACUAGACCCAAUCAACGAGUCACAUCAGAAAAUGGGUUUAUGAGUACUAUUGCAAAGAAAGAGACAUAUCCCUGAGGCCAAACACAGGCAAAAGUAAAUGUGAUUGGCAGCAAGACCUCAUCUGCUUUCCCGAUAAGUGAAUGGUCACAAUGUCUACAACAGUCACUUCAAGAUUCUAGAAAAGAAAAAGAAGAUAAAAUGAUCAAUUCAGCAGCACAGAAUCGUUAAUAGUCUUUUAAUUAUCAGGUGAUUGAAUACAAAGUGCUCCUUCGCAAGAAAACCUCCUUUUGGACUGCUGCCAUUUAACAAAGAGGACAAGAUUUGCAGUUAACUGUCCACUAUGGAAGACACCAGCUACAUGCAGUGUUUUAAAUUUAAAUUAUUAGAAAUUAGAUAAAAUUUACAAUUCAGUGCCACGGUCACACUAGCCACAUUUCGACAGCCCCACAGCCACAUGUGGCUUGUGGCACCAAUACCAGACAGGACAAAUAAAGAGUAUUUCCAUUACUGCAGAAAGAUCUAUUGAAAGCAAAGAGUUAAUCUUCAUUUGCAUAUUUUGCUCUACUCAUUCCUUUACUCCAUGCCCAUUCAUUGAAUCAGUAACUAAUAAAGUGGUUAAAGUGCUUUUUGUCUAUUGAAGAAAAGGCGAUGUGGACUAUGUAUUAAAUUAUAGUUUCCUGAAUAUAUACAUGAUUUAUAAUUUCAGUGAAUUAAAAGGCACUCCUUUACUUAUUCCUGGGGCUCCAAGGUUUGGCUUUUCACUGUCCUGCUGUCCUGAAGGGGUAGAAGGCUCACUUAUGGAAGGGUAUUCUACUCCUAAAGGGCUCAGGACUGCUCUAAAACCCUAGUGGCACAACCCUAAGAAGGUGGCAAAAGUGAAGUUUAGGAAAGGAAAGCUUGCUAAAUGGAACAGACUGAAGCUAUUCUUCUGGUGGCGUGAAUUACAUUUCUCCAUUAAUUAAAAUAUGUUUUCCCCCCAGAAUAAGCAGUAAAAGAGCAACAACAAAAAACCUCACCUGCAUGUAGAAAGAGGAGCAAACUGAACACCCUUCUCUUUGCAUUCCCUUGUUAUUCGUUCUUUUACAUUUC